UUCUGACAAUGGAUAUUCUCGUUCACUUUCGUGACAUUUAUAUUCGUGUACUAUCGUGUACUAGAAGUCAGUUCCCGUUUUAUCAUUAUUGGAAUGGCUCUUAGCUGAAGCUUCUCUCUUCUCUGAAGCUUAGAAAACAUUAUUCUGAAGACUGAACAACAAGGGAAGAGGUAUAAUCAAGCUUGUUAAGGUCAGACAUUUUUGUGUGGGCCCUGUGCUAUGAAAUCUUGUUUAUGUUUGGCAAGAUCAAGCUAGGUAGACUAUAGUUUCAUCAUUAAUAGGUGGAUCAAGUGAAGAGUGUGAGCUAGAGAAGUUGGUGCUGCCAUCAUCAGCUCGUUGACAAUGACACUAUAACCUGUUUAAUACGAGAAAUUUAAUAGAUCUACACGUGUUUAGAAUGUCUACUUCUCUGUACAGGAGCAAUGGCUAAUAUCCAGCUAUCCCAACAGUGCUCCUCUUGGCUAUACUAACGGACGAGACUGGACAGUUUGAGGACUGAAGUAUGACCUGCUCGUUCGAGCGUUGCUGGGUAGCUCAGAGGCAUCAAGAGAAUCUACGUUUUCUCAAGAGUUACGAGUUGGGGCCUAGAAUCAGAGAAGUCCAGCAGCCUGCUAAAUCUUUUUGAAACGUGGCCUUCAAUCAACCUGAAGUUGCCCUGGGUCACUGUAAUCGUGCUGCAGCACAAUUGGCAACUCCCCAGGCCCUUGUGAAGCAGCUCUCUAUGUGAAUCUUUUGUGUACUCACUCUGUGCAUUUUCUGUGUACAAAUUUCGAUUAUAAAUAUUUUUGCCGA